GACGUAGGGUGCGAGCGUUGUCCGGAUUUAUUGGGCGUAAAGAGCUCGUAGGCGGCUUGUCGCGUCAGCUGUGAAAACCCGCGGCUUAACCGUGGGCCUGCAGCUGAUACGGGCAAGCUAGAGUUCGGUAGGGGAGACUGGAAUUCCUGGUGUAGCGGUGAAAUGCGCAGAUAUCAGGAGGAACACCGGUGGCGAAGGCGGGUCUCUGGGCCGAUACUGACGCUGAGGAGCGAAAGCGUGGGGAGCGAACAGG
rnacentral:rRNA from 1 species